rnacentral:rRNA from 1 species
UACGUAGGGACCAAGCGUUGUUCGGAUUUACUGGGCGUAAAGGGCGCGUAGGCGGCGAAUCAAGUCAGCUGUGAAAUCUCCGAGCUUAACUCGGAACGGUCAGCUGAUACUGUUUUGCUAGAGUGCAGAAAGGGCAACCGGAAUUCUUGGUGUAGCGGUGAAAUGCGUAGAUAUCAAGAGGAACACCUGAGGCGAAGGCGGGUUGCUAGGCUGACACUGACGCUGAAGCGCGAAAGCUAGGGGAGCAAACGGG